rnacentral:lncRNA from 1 species
UGGUGCCUUCUGCUGACCAAGCCCUAUGGGAAGCCAGCUGGCAGGAGAUUCCUAGAGUCAGCCUCCUGGUGCAUAGCAAGGGGCAAAGCAGGGCAAAAAAUGCGUCUGGCCAUUGGGGCUGUGCAGCAAACACAGUGAGCAGAACACAGGAACUUGGUAAAGAAUCCCAAAGUAAGCAAUUGAAGAGGGCAUGUGGAGACACAGCGAGGACAGCCAGACCCAAACUGUUCAACCUACCCCAGCUCAGAUAUCACAUACAUGAGUGAAGGAUUUGCUCUAGAAGAAACCACAUGGAGAAGAAUGGAGGGCCCAGACAGUGGCCUUUUGUUUUGUGUGGGGAAUACCCAUCCUCAGCUAUUUGAGCCACCCCAGCUGAAGCCACAGACUUUGUGGGACAGAGAAAAACAGUCCCUACUUGUGCCCUGACUAAAUUUCAGACUUCCAGAGUCACAAGCAUAAUACAAUAAUUGUUGUUUUACACCCCCAUAUUUUGGGGUGGUUUGUUACACACCAAUAGAUACCUGGGAUAGUAUGUUUUUGAAGCUCUUGGCACAUAAUAAAUUAGUUCCCAGCACAGAGUAUAGCAUUUUAAGAAUUCCCUUCUAAGUAAGCAGCCAAAGUGUUUCUUUGUAUAGAAUUUAGAGGUUGCCAUGUUUUGUACCAACUGUCUAGGCUUAGACCAGGGAUUGUGUCUGACCCUCAGAAGGUUGGCCUGCAUCCUAGGAGAUGGCCUGGUUAGGAGCUCUGGGAGAAAGUUAUGGGCCAGAGGCUGGGAAGCAAUGCAAACUCUAAGAAGGAGAAGCCAUGAGGAGGAAGAGGAGAUGACAAGAUCACCUUCCAGUUCUCCGUGAACUGGGGAGUCUGGGUGUGAUGGGCGUUGUAAUUUGAAUGAUGUUCUAGUAUUCUGUCUUUCUUCCCUGUGAACAUCAACAGUACCCAUUAACUGGAGCAUCCUGAAUAAAUGGUUCUUGCAUCUGCAUCC